rnacentral:misc_RNA from 1 species
AAGUCGUAACAAGGUUUCCGUAGGUGCUGCGGAAGGAUCAUUAACACGUAUCCAACGUUAAACAACCCUGUAAACUUUCAAACGCUCUUGUAGCCCAGGCGGAACAGCAAUCCCGGUAAAUCAAUGGCGGAAAAGUUUUGAUUCGGGACGUUCUC